rnacentral:rRNA from 1 species
UAUCAGUCAUGCAUAGCAUAUCAAUAAGCGGAGGAAAAGAAACUAACAAGGAUUCCCUUAGUAACGGCGAGUGAAGCGGGAAGAGCUCAAAUUUGAAAUCUUCAAGGUUCUACCUUGACGAAUUGUAGUUUAUAGAAGUGUUUUCUGUUAGUAGAGUGGCAAAAGUUCUUUGGAAUAGGACAUCAUAGAGGGUGAGAAUCCCGUAUUUGGUCAUUCUUUCUAGCUUUGUGAUACACUUUCAACGAGUCGGAUUGUUUGGGAAUGCAGUCCAAAAUGGGUGGUAAAUUUCAUCUAAAGCUAAAUACUGGCGAGAGACCGAUAGCGAACAAGUACCGUGAGGGAAAGAUGAAAAGAACUUUGAAAAGAGAGUUAAACAGUACGUGAAAUUGUCAAAAGGGAAGCGUUUGACACCAGUGUUGUUUAGUUGAAAAUCAAUUCAAUAAUUUUUGAUUUUAAGUAGUAUUGACUUCAUCAGCUUGCUGCUUUCUUUUCAGAAAUUAUUUAAUGCACUUUUCAGUUAACAAGUCAACAUCAAUUUCUUUUGUUGUAAAAGGGUAAGAGGAAGGUGGCUUGCGCUUCGGCUCAAGUGUUUAUAGCCUUUUACCUCUGCAAUCGGAGAGAUUGAGGACAUGCAGCGUAGACUCUUCGGGGUUAGAUACACUUUGUGCUAAGUUAUAGCCUUGUAUAGACAACUUGUUGACUAUGACUCAGUCAUGUAGCUUACUCGCUAGAUAGUAUUUUACCUACGCUUAGGAUGUUGAUGUGAUACUGCGAGCA